rnacentral:rRNA from 1 species
AUUCAGUUUGGGGGCGUCGGUUCGUNCAAANUCGGAAACCAACCAGGGCUUUCCCCAAAACGGGGGCCGUCCGGGUUGCAAANAAGGCCGAUGCACCCNACGCAAUUUGUUUUNUCGUCNNAAGGANCCCGCAGCCGGNUGGGUAGUGCAAGCNCNACGACCUUAGGGGCGGAANAUGGCAGGUGGCCNCUGGCGUGUUUCGUGCGCGUCGGCGGUUGUUAACCGUUCCGCCAGUGGUCCGUCANCCGGCCGAGGUGUCGNUAGGCCCNUACGGGCCUCAACGCCUCCUCCUUUANAGACGCGGGUCAGAGCGUUGCAGGCGGAANCCGUCGUCCCGUUCGCACCCCUCAGGGGUGGUCGGGCGAACGGAGGCCNCCGUUGGUGAUGCCGGACCCGUUGGAGGAUNGAGGCUCGCGGCGAGUAGGUCGGUCACCCACCCGACCCGGUCUUNAAACACGGACCAAGGAGUNUAACAUGUGCGCGAGUCAAUGGGUNUUGAACAGGCCCAUGGGCGCAAUGAAAGCAAAGGGCGGCCUCAGCGCCGUCCGAGUUGGGAUCCCCCUCCCUCGUGGUGGGGGNGCACCAACGACCCGUCCUAUUCGGCUNGCCGAUUGGGCGGAGUUUGAGCGUACACGUUGGGACCCGAAAGAUGGUGAANUAUGCCCGGACAGGACGAGGCCAGAGGAAACUCUGGUGGAGGUCCGCAGCGGUUNUGACGUGCAAAU